rnacentral:rRNA from 1 species
CAGGCUUAACACAUGCAAGUCGAGGGGCAGCAUGGUCUUAGCUUGCUAAGGCCGAUGGCGACCGGCGCACGGGUGAGUAACACGUAUCCAACCUGCCGUCUACUCUUGGACAGCCUUCUGAAAGGAAGAUUAAUACAAGAUGGCAUCAUGAGUCCGCAUGUUCACAUGAUUAAAGGUAUUCCGGUAGACGAUGGGGAUGCGUUCCAUUAGAUAGUAGGCGGGGUAACGGCCCACCUAGUCUUCGAUGGAUAGGGGUUCUGAGGGGAAGGUCCCCCACAUUGGAACUGAGACACGGUCCAAACUCCUAUGGGAGGCAGCAGUGAGGAAUAUUGGUCAAUGGGCGAGAGCCUGAACCAGCCAAGUAGCGUGAAGGAUGACUGCCCUAUGGGUUGUAAACUUCUUUUAUAAAGGAAUAAAGUCGGGUAUGCAUACCCGUUUGCAUGUACUUUAUGAAUAAGGAUCGGCUAACUCCGUGCCAGCAGCCGCGGUAAUACGGAGGAUCCGAGCGUUAUCCGGAUCUAUUGGGUUUAAAGGGAGCGUAGAUGGAUGUUUAAGUCAGUUGUGAAAGUUUGCGGCUCAACCGUAAAAUUGCAGUUGAUACUGGAUAUCUUGAGUGCAGUUGAGGCAGGCGGAAUUCGUGGUGUAGCGGUGAAAUGCUUAGAUAUCACGAAGAACUCCGAUUGCGAAGGCAGCCUGCUAAGCUGCAACUGACAUUGAGGCUCGAAAGUGUGGGUAUCAAACAGGAUUAGAUACCCUGGUAGUCCACACGGUAAACGAUGAAUACUCGCUGUUUGCGAUAUACGGCAAGCGGCCAAGCGAAAGCGUUAAGUAUUCCACCUGGGGAGUACGCCGGCAACGGUGAAACUCAAAGGAAUUGACGGGGGCCCGCACAAGCGGAGGAACAUGUGGUUUAAUUCGAUGAUACGCGAGGAACCUUACCCGGGCUUAAAUUGCAGAUGAAUUACGGUGAAAGCCGUAAGCCGCAAGGCAUCUGUGAAGGUGCUGCAUGGUUGUCGUCAGCUCGUGCCGUGAGGUGUCGGCUUAAGUGCCAUAACGAGCGCAACCCUUGUUGUCAGUUACUAACAGGUUCCGCUGAGGACUCUGACAAGACUGCCAUCGUAAGAUGUGAGGAAGGUGGGGAUGACGUCAAAUCAGCACGGCCCUUACGUCCGGGGCUACACACGUGUUACAAUGGGGGGUACAGAGGGCCGCUACCACGCGAGUGGAUGCCAAUCCCCAAAACCUCUCUCAGUUCGGACUGGAGUCUGCAACCCGACUCCACGAAGCUGGAUUCGCUAGUAAUCGCGCAUCAGCCACGGCGCGGUGAAUACGUUCCCGGGCCUUGUACACACCGCCCGUCAAGCCAUGGGAGCCGGGGGUACCUGAAGUGCGUAACCGCGAGGAGCGCCCUAGGGUAAAACUGGUGACUGGGGC